GACGAACGCUGGCGGCGUGCUUAACACAUGCCAGUCGAACGGAAAGGCCCUGCUUUUGUGGGGUGCUCGAGUGGCGAACGGGUGAGUAACACGUGAGUAACCUGCCCUUGACUUUGGGAUAACUUCAGGAAACUGGGGCUCAUACCGGAUAGGAGCUCCUGCUGCAUGGUGGGGGUUGGAAAGUUUCGGCGGUUGGGGAUGGACUCGCGGCUUAUCAGCUUGUUGGUGGGGUAGUGGCUUACCAAGGCUUUGACGGGUAGCCGGCCUGGGAGGGUGACCGGCCACAUUGGGACUGAGAUACGGCCCAGACUCCUACGGGACGCAGCAGUGGGGAAUAUUGCACAAUGGGCGGAAGCCUGAUGCAGCAACGCCGCGUGCGGGAUGACGGCCUUCGGGUUGUAAACCGCUUUCGCCUGUGACGAAGCGUGAGUGACGGUAAUGGGUAAAGAAGCACCGGCUAACUACGUG
rnacentral:rRNA from 1 species